rnacentral:rRNA from 1 species
UCCUACAGCCACACUACCCUCAAAACCCCUGAUCUCAGAAGUGAAGCAGGGUCAGGCCUGGUUAGUACCCGGCCGGGAG